UACGUAUGUCGCAAGCGUUAUCCGGAAUUAUUGGGCAUAAAGGGCAUCUAGGCGGCCAGAUAAGUCUGGGGUGAAAACUUGCGGCUCAACCGCAAGCCUGCCCUGGAAACUAUAUGGCUAGAGUACUGGAGAGGUGGACGGAACUGCACGAGUAGAGGUGAAAUUCGUAGAUAUGUGCAGGAAUGCCGAUGAUGAAGAUAGUUCACUGGACGGUAACUGACGCUGAAGUGCGAAAGCUAGGGGAGCAAACAGG
rnacentral:rRNA from 1 species